GGAGAUGGACGAUACUGAAGCAUCACUUGGGAGGUUUGCAUUCGCCUUUUCCAGGUAUGUAACUGCAGGGAUUAGGAGCCGAUGGUUGAACUGGACGGUUAGACUGUGGAAAAUGGGUGCUGCUCGCUCCAAAUCUUGGCUUCUUGGUCAUGGUAUUAGAUGGCCUAGCUGCAACUACAAGAGCAGCUCUGGCAACAAGGAUCAGGAACAAAAGGAAGAUGGCCUUUGCCCUAAGAGAGAGAGAUCUCUUGCACCCACUACUCACCAUGGUUUUGAUUAACCUUAGAGAACGAUACAAUGAUUUAGAUAUAUCGAGACAAGUGCAAUAAACUGAGAGGUUUGGUCUAUAUAUAUAAAGAUUCUUGAAGAGCCUACACUGCAUGCUUUUCAGAGAGCGUUCGAUAUAUGAUAACAUACGUAGAUUUCUAUACAAUAUUAAACUGUUUUUUUCAGACAACAAUUAGUUAAUGAUAUCCUUGAACAAAAAAGCCUGCAAUAUCAUGGCUUGAUGUCGCUCGUACAAGAAUAUUCUUAUUUACAAAAAAAGAAAUAGAGAACAAACAAAUGCCAAAUGUUUUUUUGUGUCUAAAGGGAUGGUAUUAUCCUAUCAGAAAAGCAAAAAAGUUUGCUUUGGUGGCCGAUGUUGUUCAUGGCAGCCAUACGCAGCAAUUGUUGACCAAUCAUAAGCCAUUAAAGAGUUCGUUUUUCUUUUUCUUUUUCUGGGUACGAAAUCUGCAGAGCAUCAAAGUUGUAUACGGCAGAGUACUUGGUAGGAUGGAGGCGCGAGCACCAAAUAUUUUGUGAUGAUUCUCAUAUUUCUUAAAGCUCAGUCGGCUCAGAUUUGUGAUGGGUUGGACAUGAUGAAGUGCAUGGUAAAAGAAAGACUGUAGUUUUCUUAAAUUUUAAGAUUAUAACUAUUUACUGUUUUGAAAAAUAAGUUAUCAAGAUGUUUAAAUAGUGACUAAAUUAACAUACAUAAUUAAAACAAAUCAAAUUAAAAUAAAAAAAUUGACUAGGAAAGGAAUAUUCCAAAAAAUGAUUCGAAAAAUAAAAAAAUAUCUAAAAUAAUAUAUUUUGAGUCGAAUUUAAGCAAGUUCCCAAUCCUAAUUGAUUACAGCUAGUUGAUUCAUUAAAUAACUAGGUACGUAGAUAUUGUUAUGUUGUUAGGUACAAAAUAAAAACAUGAUAAUUAAUUAUUAUACCAUGUUAAUAAGAACUUCAAACAAUAAUUGAUUAAACAAUAAUAUAUUAUAAAAAAAAUCAUAGCAAAUAUAUUUUAUUUAUAUUAAACUUAUUUGACACGUGUACAUGUCUAUCAUAAGAUACGAUUCAUUGUGUCCCUAUCCUACACGUGGUAGAACCCUCGACACACACGUUGGGCAACUUUCUAAAACGUUUAGUAUGUUCGAGUGAUUGCCUUUUAAUCUAAGUCCCACAAAUGUAUAUUCCUCUUGAUCCUUUCAUAUUUUAAUCCCAAAAGCUUUGAUGUGCUAGCCAGUUGAUUUUGAUGUUACAUGGAUCACCCGAAGCCACAGUAUUUUUGAGCUCAGCUACUUGUCUUUUGUAGUGUGUGUCGACUAUAUAUAUUUCAAUAAAAUCAAUGAUUAAAAAAAUGAAUUUAAAAAAGAUUGAUUUUUUAUUUUUAUAAAACAAACAGUUUCCACAAUAAGAAGUUGUGUUUUUGUUUAAAACCAACACGAUUCUUUUUCUAAAAAAAUCAAAUCUUUUUUGUUUUCAAAAUAAAACAAAUACUAUUUUUAUUACUAAAACAAUACCACACAAUUAAAUAAUUGCCGUCUCUUGUUUUCUGUUUUUAAAUUAUCAGUCAUACCAAGAUAGUAGGCUUUAAGUGAAAAUAUUUAUUUAUUUAUUUUUGUUUCUUCUUGUCCAAUAAUAGUGUUUUGUCUUAGUUUUUGUAUUUUUAAAAAUAGUUUCCAUCUUUUUUAAAAAUAUUUUUCUAUUUUUAUUUUUCUAUUCAAUAUUAUUAUAUAGUUUUCUUAUUUUUAUUUUUCUAUUAAGUAUUAUUAGGUUUUUCUAUUUUUUUUAAUUCAAAGGAAAUAGUUUUUUUUUUCUAUUCAAUAUUAUUAGAACUUUCUAAUUUUUUCUAUAUAAAAAAUUUUAAACUUGUAAUAACAUUUUUACAAGAAAUUUAAUGAAUAAAAAUUAAAUAUUCUAGAUAUCUCUUCACAGUUAUGAAAUUCUUGAUUUUUAAAUAUUUUAACUUAUAAUAAAUCACAUACCCUGGCAACAUUAUCUAUUUAUUUAUGAUCAAGGAAAACACAAGGGCCUGUGUUUUUGGGGAUGUGUGGGUUUAAAGCCUGCAAUAUAUUAAAGAAAAAAUUUAAAAAUUUGGGUUGUAAUAAAUUUUUAAAUAUUUAUAUUAAAUGAAUCGGUCGAUCAGUUCAUUCGACAUAAUAUUUUUAUUAUUAAUUUAAUUUUUUUUAUUUAAUUUCUUAAUUAUUUAAGAUUUUAUACCUAUAAAUAACAUCAUAAUUAAUAGAACAAGAGAUAAAGCAAUAAAAAAGAACUUAUAGCGUGUAUCUUUCAGAAAAUAUUUAAUAAAAUAUAUCUUUUCUCUCAAAUAUUUUGGUCUUUUUUAGUUUUGUUAUUUUGCUUUGUUGUCCAUAAUUAACCAUCUACAACACCUACAGUUUUGUUAUUUUGCUUUGUUGUCCAUAAUUAACCAUCUACAACACCUACCUUUCUUCUAACAUAAUAUAUAUAUAUAUAUAUAUAUAUAUGAUAGUUCAUGCAUGUUUCUUGAAACAUAUGUACUAAUCAGGAUAUAAUCCAAUUAACCAUCCUCUUCAACACUUGGCAGAAUAAAUUAAUUCAAGCUAGCAUUGGUAACAACUACAUUCUCAGAUCCAGAAAAUUUGGGAAAUAAAUUAUUAUUAAAUAUCAUUAAUUUGCAUACAAAUAAAGGAUUCAUAAUUGGACCAACUCUCCAUCAUGCAUUACACUAUCACUAAAAUUUAUAUAUAAAUAAAGAGCUAGAUUUUUAAUUUAAAAGACGAGAAAGAAGAAAAAUAUAUAUAAAAAAACCUAGAAAAUAUCCAUUGAUAUAUAAAUAAGAGCUAAAUCUUUAAUUUGAAACAGACCAUGUAUAUAACUACAUGCUUGACGGAGAUGGACGAUACUGAAGCAUCACUUGGGAGGUUUGCAUUCGCCUUUUCCAGGUAUGUAACUGCAGGGAUUAGGAGCCGAUGGUUGAACUGGACGGUUAGACUGUGGAAAAUGGGUGCUGCUCGCUCCAAAUCUUGGCUUCUUGGUCAUGGUAUUAGAUGGCCUAGCUGCAACUACAAGAGUAGCUCUGGAAACAAGGAUCAGGAACAAAAGGAAGAUGGCCUUUGCCCUAAGAGAGAGAGAUCUCUUGCACCCACUACUCACCAUGGUUUUGAUUAACCUUUAGAGAACGAUACAAUGAUAUAGAUAUAUCGAGACAAGUGCAAUAAACUGAGAAGUGUAC
rnacentral:lncRNA from 1 species